GCCUAACACAUGCAAGUCGAGCGGCAGCACGGGAAGCUUGCUUCCUGGUGGCGAGCGGCGGACGGGUGAGUAAUGCAUAGGAAUCUGCCCGGUAGUGGGGGAUAACCUGGGGAAACCCAGGCUGAUACCGCAUACGUCCUACGGGAGAAAGCAGGGGCUCUUCGGACCUUGCGCUAUCGGAUGAGCCUAUGUCGGAUUAGCUGGUUGGUGAGGUAAUGGCUCACCAAGGCGACGAUCCGUAGCUGGUCUGAGAGGAUGAUCAGCCACAUCGGGACUGAGACACGGCCCGAACUCCUACGGGAGGCAGCAGUGGGGAAUAUUGGACAAUGGGCGCAAGCCUGAUCCAGCCAUGCCGCGUGUGUGAGGAGGGCCCUCGGGUUGUAAAGCACUUUCAGUGGGGAAGAACGCCUUCCGGUUAAUACCCGGGAGGAAAGACAUCACCCACAGAAGAAGCACCGGCUAACUCCGUGCCAGCAGCCGCGGUAAUACGGAGGGUGCGAGCGUUAAUCGGAAUUACUGGGCGUAAAGCGCGCGUAGGUGGCUUGAUAAGCCGGUUGUGAAAGCCCCGGGCUCAACCUGGGAACGGCAUCCGGAACUGUCAGGCUAGAGUGCAGGAGAGGAAGGUAGAAUUCCCGGUGUAGCGGUGAAAUGCGUAGAGAUCGGGAGGAAUACCAGUGGCGAAGGCGGCCUCUGGACUGACACUGACACUGAGGUGCGAAAGCGUGGGUAGCAAACAGGAUUAGAUACCCUGGUAGUCCACGCCGUAAACGAUGUCGACUAGCCGUUGGGUCCUUCGCGGACUUUGUGGCGCAGUUAACGCGAUAAGUCGACCGCCUGGGGAGUACGGCCGCAAGGUUAAAACUCAAAUGAAUUGACGGGGGCCCGCACAAGCGGUGGAGCAUGUGGUUUAAUUCGAUGCAACGCGAAGAACCUUACCUACCCUUGACAUCCUGCGAACCCUUCGGAGACGAAGGGGUGCCUUCGGGAACGCAGAGACAGGUGCUGCAUGGCUGUCGUCAGCUCGUGUUGUGAAAUGUUGGGUUAAGUCCCGUAACGAGCGCAACCCUUGUCCCUAUUUGCCAGCGAUUCGGUCGGGAACUCUAGGGAGACUGCCGGUGACAAACCGGAGGAAGGUGGGGACGACGUCAAGUCAUCAUGGCCCUUACGGGUAGGGCUACACACGUGCUACAAUGGUCAGUACAAAGGGUUGCGAACUUGCGAGAGUGAGCCAAUCCCAGAAAGCUGAUCUCAGUCCGGAUCGGAGUCUGCAACUCGACUCCGUGAAGUCGGAAUCGCUAGUAAUCGUGAAUCAGAAUGUCACGGUGAAUACGUUCCCGGGCCUUGUACACACCGCCCGUCACACCAUGGGAGUGGACUGCACCAGAAGUGGUUAGCCUAACCUUCGGGAGGGCGAUCACCACGGUGUGGUUCAUGACUGGGGUGAAGUCGUAACAAGGUAGCCGUAGGGGAACCUGNGGCUGGAUCACCUCC
rnacentral:rRNA from 1 species